AUUAAAAACCAAUGCCCUUCGGGGCUCUCUGGUGAUUCAUAAUAACUUCUCGAAUCGCACGGCCUUGCGCCGGCGAUGGUUCAUUCAAAUUUCUGCCCUAUCAACUUUCGACGGCUGGGUCUUGGCCAGCCGUGGUGACAACGGGUAACGGAGGGUUAGGGCUCGACCCCGGAGAAGGAGCCUGAGAAACGGCUACUACAUCCAAGGAAGGCAGCAGGCGCGCAAAUUACCCAAUCCCGACACGGGGAGGUAGUGACAAUAAAUACUGAUACAGGGCUCUUUCGGGUCUUGUAAUUGGAAUGAGUACAAUUUAAAUCCCUUAACGAGGAACAAUUGGAGGGCAAGUCUGGUGCCAGCAGCCGCGGUAAUUCCAGCUCCAAUAGCGUAUAUUAAAGUUGUUGAGGUUAAAAAGCUCGUAGUUGAACCUUAGGCCUAGCCGGCCGGUCCGCCUCACCGCGUGCACUGGCUCGGCUGGGUCUUUCCUUCUGGAGACCGCAUGCCCUUCACUGGGUGUGCC
rnacentral:rRNA from 1 species